UACGUAGGGACCAAGCGUUGUUCGGAUUUACUGGGCGUAAAGGGCGCGUAGGCGGCAAUUCAAGUCAUCUGUGAAAUCUCCGGGCUUAACUCGGAACGGUCAGAUGAUACUGCUUUGCUAGAGUGCAGAAGGGGCAAUCGGAAUUCUUGGUGUAGCGGUGAAAUGCGUAGAUAUCGGGAGGAACACCAGUGGCGAAGGCGGCGAUCUGGGAAGAUACUGACGCUGAGGUGCGAAAGCGUGGGGAGCAAACAGG
rnacentral:rRNA from 1 species